ensembl:misc_RNA 7SK 7SK RNA
GGAAAUGGGACAGCAAUCUGGCUGUGACAUCUGUCGCUCCAUUGAUCACCAGGGUUGGUUUGUCUCAUCUGAUUGGCUAGGCAGGUGCCCCGUUCCUCUCUCUCUGCUCCAUGUGUGUCCCUCCCAAAGCUGCACACUUCAUCAAAGAGGAUGAUUCUCCACAAAUAGAGGAGGACCAGUCUUUGGUCAAGGGUGUAUGAGUAACUACCCAUCAGUUUAGCUGGUUUCCAAGAUUGCAUGUAACAUGUUGUUGGGCUUCACAACAUCUAUAGUCAUAUGAAAUAAAUAAAUGCCUUUCUUCCUAU